rnacentral:sRNA from 1 species
UUUAAAGUGAGGUUGAGACCCAUAAAUAUAUACUAAACUGAGUGAGUGAGUGUUACAUUUGUGUGAAAAAUAAUGCAAUUGAGUAGUUUUGAAGGAAAAGUAAGAGUAAGAUUCAAACAUAGAAAGAAAAAAAAAAGUUUUAAAGGUUGAGUUUCGAAGAGGGUGAAGGAAGAAUUGAACACAAAGAGAUGAAAGGUAGUGAGGGAUAACUUCGCGUAGUUGUAAAGAAGGUGUACUUUGUCGGGCUUCUAAGGAGAGUAAUGGGAGGUGACACUUGUAUUGGUAAGCUACGUGCGAGAGAUACAUCUCAGUUUUGUAGCACAUAGAUCACUAAUGGUUGUACUAUAGUGUGAAAAAAUAGGUGUAAUUGUAUUGUCUUGAGACACAUGACUAUGUAAAGCUUGGUGAAUUGUUAUAUUAUGAUUGAUGUGUAUUCAUGUUUUGAUA